rnacentral:tRNA from 4 species
AAGAAAGUGACAGAGAGGAUAUGUGUCUGGCUUGAAACCAGGGUAUGGGGGUUCGAUUCCCUCCUUUCUCG